rnacentral:rRNA from 1 species
UACGUAGGGUGCAAGCGUUAAUCGGAAUUACUGGCGUAAAGGCGCGCGCAGGCGGUGAUGUAGACAGAUGUGAAAUCCCCGGGCUCAACCUGGGAACUGCAUUGUGACUGCAUCGCUGGAGUGCGGCAGAGGGGGAUGGAAUUCCGCGUGUAGCAGUGAAAUGCGUAGAUAUGCGGAGGAACACCGAUGGCGAAGGCAAUCCCCUGGGCCUGCACUGACGCUCAUGCACGAAAGCGUGGGGAGCA